rnacentral:rRNA from 1 species
GAUGAACGCUAGCUACAGGCUUAACACAUGCAAGUCGAGGGGAAACGAUAUUGGAAGCUUGCUUCCGAUAGGCAUCGACCGGCGCACGGGUGAGUAACGCGUAUCCAACCUGCCCAUCACUUGGGGAUAACCUUGCGAAAGUAAGACUAAUACCCAAUGAUAUCCGUCGAAGACAUCUGAAGUGGAUUAAAGAUUCAUCGGUGAUGGAUGGGGAUGCGUCUGAUUAGCUUGUUGGCGGGGUAACGGCCCACCAAGGCAACGAUCAGUAGGGGGUCUGAGAGGAAGGUCCCCCACAUUGGAACUGGGACACGGUCCAAACUCCUACGGGAGGCAGCAGUGAGGAAUAUUGGUCAAUGGACGAGAGUCUGAACCAGCCAAGUAGCGUGCAGGAUGGCGGCCCUAUGGGUUGUAAACUGCUUUUAUAAGGGAAUAAAGUGGGAGUCGUGACUCCUUUUGCAUGUACCUUAUGAAUAAGGACCGGCUAAUUCCGUGCCAGCAGCCGCAGUAA